rnacentral:lncRNA from 1 species
GGCAGGAGAACCACUUGAGCCCAGGAGGCAGAGGUUGUGGUGAGCCGAGAUCAUGCCGCUACGCUCCAGCCUGGGCGACAAAGGGAGACUCUGUCUCAGAAAAAAAAACCAGGGAUGGAUGAUUGAGGGAAACUUCAGAACACACUCAUGGAAUACCUUGUUACAGGUAUAUUAUGGCUGAAUGCCAAAUGGCCAAGUGUUAAAGUUCAGCUGAAGAGGAGGCCAAAGCCUGUGCAUAAUUUUAAAUACAAAUUUUAUUAUUACAAUUUUGAAUUAAAGCUAUAGUAAAGUUUUAAGGGCUGACAUAGGGUGCGGAAACAGUUUUCUUGGGCCGCCAGCUUGAAGGGAUAAUCCAAGGCCCUUCCUGUACCCAUUUGAGUGACUGAGGGUUGAUCACUUCCACCCAUGUGGGUGAGGAGCAAGA